GGCGAGUAGCGCAGUUUGGUAGCGCACUUGGUUUGGGUCCAAGGGGUCGCAGGUUCAAAUCCUGCAUCGCCGACCA
rnacentral:tRNA from 1 species